rnacentral:rRNA from 1 species
CUACGGGUUGCACCAGUGAGGAAUAUUGCACAAUGGGGGGAACCCUGAUGCAGCAACGCCGCGUGGAGGAUGACGCAUUACGGUGUGUAAACUCCUUUUAUAUGUCAAGAAAAUGACGGUAGCAUAUGAAUAAGCACCGGCUAACUCCGUGCCAGCAGCCGCGGUAAUACGGCAGGGUGCAAGCGUUACUCGGAAUCACUGGGCGUAAAGGACGCGUAGGCGGGUUGGAAAGUCAGGUGUGAAAUCCUACAGCUUAACUGUAGAACUGCACUUGAAACUUCUAAUCUAGAGUAUGGGAGGGGGAGAUGGAAUUAGUGGUGUAGGGGUAAAAUCCGUAGAUAUCACUAGGAAUACCUAAAGCGAAGGCGAUCUCCUGGAACAUUACUGACGCUAAGGCGUGAAAGCGUGGGGAGCAAACAGGAUUAGAUACCCUUGUAGUC